GACAGAGGGGGCAAGCGUUGCUCGGAAUCACUGGGCGUAAAGGGCGCGUAGGCGGGAUGGCAAGUCGGUCGUGAAAUCCCUCGGCUUAACCGGGGAACUGCGUCUGAUACUGGAUGGCUUGAGUUUGGGAGAGGGAUGCGGAAUUCCAGGUGUAGCGGUGAAAUGCGUAGAUAUCUGGAGGAACACCGGUGGCGAAGGCGGCAUCCUGGACCAACACUGACGCUGAGUGAGCGAAAGCCAGGGGAGCAAACGGG
rnacentral:rRNA from 1 species